rnacentral:misc_RNA from 1 species
AACGCACAUUGCGCCCGCUAGUAUUCUGGCGGGCAUGCCUGUUCGAGCGUCAUUUCAACCAUCAAGCCCCAGGCUUGCGUUGGAGCCCUGCGGCUGCCGCAGGCUCCCAAAUACAGUGGCGGGCUCGUCGUCGUACCGAGUGCAGUAAACAUCCUCGCUCAGGGAACGCGUCGGGUUCUUGCCGUGAAACCCCCCCUAUAUUAAGGUUGACCUCGGAUCAGGUAGGAAUACCCGCUGAACUUAA